rnacentral:lncRNA from 1 species
UAUCUUACAUUCAUCAUGACAUUCAUCAUGAGCAGAUCAUAAUUCUGGACCCUUUGAUCCCCAAAGCCUCCCUUGAGGCCCUGUUGGAGAACUUCACCAAUCAUUUAUAUACUUCAAGAUGCCUUGGGAUAACUGGACAAAACAAAAAAACAACCUGUUUGAGAAGAUAAAACAGUUGUAUCUUUUUAUGCUGUGCCUGCUAAUUGAAAGAAGCCUCAUAACUAUGAAUGUGAACCUGACUAGGAAUGGAACAAAGUUAUCUAUCAUCAUGCUGGAUCUAAAGAAUCAGCACCCUGCAUACUCUAGCUCCUGAUUGUUCCCUUCAUAUUUGCCAAAUCGUUAUCUUUCUAAGAAGCAGUGUAGAGAGCAAGAAAUUUGAACACACCAAAGGAAGAUCAACAUGCCUGGCGGUCUGGCAUUUUAAAACAGAAUGAAUGUGUAUUUGUUUGCUUGUCUCUUUCUUCCUUGCGCAUCUUUGGUCUUUUUCUCUAAAUUGUGUCUUACCCAUUUCCAUGAUUCUUUUGCUAGUUUCUUCUCAGUAUAUCUUUGUCUCCUUUUUUGUACCUGAGUGUGCGGUCUGUGUCUCGUCUUAGAUGUCUCUCUCUAGUUUCUUUUUUUCAUUUUGUUAUUGAUUCUCCUUGGUCUUCUAGAUCUGGCUCUUCUUUCACUGUUGUUCACUUUGUGUCUCUUGAGUCACAUACUGUGUGCUCUUUGCUCAUUUCUUGUUAUGCCUACCUUUCUUCUUUUUCUCUUUGUGAAUUCUGAUUGUCUGUUAUCCAUUCCCCUUCUUGUUCGUUUGACAUUUCACCUAGUCUAAUAC